AUAAGAAUGAGCUGGAGAAGAAAGAUAAGGAAAAGCUUGCACGCUUGUUGGAUCACCAGAAACAUUAUUUGGUUACUCCAGAAAUUCGCAGGGAACUUCGGAGUAGUACCAACAGGGGUGAAAAGGCGACUGAUAUGUCGAUAUAUAUCCUUUACAAACUGCAUCUUUCAUUUUCAGUCUUUUGAUUUGCAAUUUAGUAUGCUAUCAAGCAAACCAUUUAUUCUUCUGCAAUCAAACUUUUUCUACAACACGGUUGUCCUUAACUUUCUUCCUACGUUCACUUGUUUCUGUGAUCACCAAGCCAAUCGAAGAAGACAGGUGGAAUGUUCCAGAAGUACCUAUGGAGGAGGAUUAAGUGCUGCAGGAAACAUUUUUAGUUACUGCGUGAACUACAUCUGCACUCCAGUUUUGAUCACAACUUCAGUUUUUCUGGGCAAUUUGUACCUUUUCUUUUUUGUUGUUCUUGAGAAAGAGAUAUAUACACUGGUUUGUAAGAACGGCUGGUAUGGGAGUUCAAUUAUAUUUAAAAAUUAUUCAUGACUGUCA